rnacentral:tRNA from 1 species
AAAAAAGUAGCUUAAAUUUAAAGCCAAGCAUUGAAGAUGCUUUGAUAGGAUAUUCCUCUUUUUUA